GGUUGACCUCGGAUCAGGUAGGGAUACCCGCUGAACUUAAGCAUAUCAAUAAGCGGAGGAAAAGAAACCAACCC
rnacentral:rRNA from 1 species